rnacentral:rRNA from 1 species
AAAACCACGAGUUUGAUCCUGGCUCAGAACGAACGCUGGCGGCAGGCCUCAAACAUGCAAGUCUAGGGGGUGUAGCAAUACAUCACCGGCGGACGGAUGCGUAACGCGUGGGAAUGUACCUAUUGGUUCGGAACAACUGAGGGAAACUUCAGCUAAUACCGAAUGUGCCCCGUAAGGGGAAAGAUUUAUCGCCAAUGGAUCAGCCCGCGUAGGAUUAGCUAGUUGGUGAGGUAAUGGCUCACCAAGGCUCCGAUCCUUAGCUGUUCUGAGAGGAAGAUCAGCCACACUGGGACUGAGACACGGCCCAGACUCCUACGGGAGGCAGCAGUUGGGAAUCUUGGACAAUGGGGAAACCCUGAUCCAGCCAUGCCGCGUGAGUGAUGAAGGCCUUCGGGUUGUAAAACUCUUUCGACGGGGACGAUAAUGACGGUACCCGUAGAAGAAGCUCCGGCUAACUUCGUG